CACGUAGGGCGCGAGCGUUGUCCGGAAUUAUUGGGCGUAAAGAGCUCGUAGGCGGCCUGUUGCGUCCGCUGUGAAAGCCCGGGGCUUAACCCCGGGUCGGCAGUGGAUACGGGCAGGCUAGAGGUAGGUAGGGGAGAAUGGAAUUCCCGGUGUAGCGGUGAAAUGCGCAGAUAUCGGGAGGAACACCGGUGGCGAAGGCGGUUCUCUAGGCCUUACCUGACGCUGAAGAGCGAAAGCGUGGGGAGCGAACAGG
rnacentral:rRNA from 1 species